rnacentral:rRNA from 1 species
AUACGUAGGGUGCGAGCGUUGUCCGGAAUUACUGAGCGUAAAGAGCUCGUAGGUGGUUUGUCGCGUCGUCUGUGAAAUUCCGGGGCUUAACUCCGGGCGUGCAGGCAAUACGGGCAUAACUUGAGUACUGUAGGGGAGACUGGAAUUCCUGGUGUAGCGGUGAAAUGCGCAGAUAUCAGGAGGAACACCGGUGGCGAAGGGGGGUCUCUGGGCAGUAACUGACGCUGAGGAGCGAAAGCAUGGGUAGCGAACAGGAUUAGAGACCCUGGUAGUCCAUGCCGUAAACGGUGGGCGCUAGGUGUAGGGGUCUUCCACGACUUCUGUGCCGUAGCUAACGCAUUAAGCGCCCCGCCUGGGGAGUACGGCCGCAAGGCUAAAACUCAAAGGAAUUGACGGGG